ACUUGAAGGUGUAAAAAUGCCUAGACAAAGAAAGAGAUGGCUGAACUUCGACUACGUGGCAAAGGGAGAGGAACCCUAUCAAAAACCUAAAGAAAUUCGGUGCGACGGAAGCUAAAGAAAUGUCUAAAAAAUGGAAAAGGGCGACAACAAAGGGCGGAAGUGGAAGCCGGAGCCCGGUGGGGAAGGCCUCCUGGUACAGGCAGAAACAUUCAGGUGGGGGGUGCUGGCCCAAUCGGC
rnacentral:lncRNA from 1 species